UCACCCGCUGAACUCAUGAUAAACGAGGCUUCAUGAUAAUAUGUGGCUGUGAAACACAAUUUUUCAAUAAUAUGUUUAACAGUCUCCUAGUGGAAUUUGUGUAAUUAAUCUGCUAUGCCACAAGUUAUCAGGAAAAACUAUGAAACAUUAAUGGAACGACGAUUUCAAUAAGGAAGCUUACCAAACGAGUGUUUAGAAUGAGCACAAAUACAAGGAAUAUGAGAAUUGAAGGAAUAGGAGAACUAUCUGAAAUACGAGAACAUAAAGUAGAAUAAAACCAAAUAAGCAACAAUACAAUUAUCACAACAAUUUAGAUGGCCGUUUUAUAAGCAGAGUCAUGCAUAACAACCGAGUCGAUGAGCUAAAUAAAAACGCGUUCAAAAGUUUGAAGUUAAAACACCGUUAAAUUUGUAUUUGAUUACAAAUCACGUAUUUCAUUGAUAAAUCUGUAAACACAGUUUAUCAACAUUGGGGCCAUUAAGCCCACUGUCACAUUACGUGCUGGAUUCUCUCGUGUCCUAGAUAGUGUAGAUUAUGAACGUGUGAGUAUACUUAGGUAACCUUAACUAAACAUAGGAGGGAAUGUCUCCGCCGACCUCAAAUAAUCAUGCAGGUCUCUGCAGCGUCAAGUCGGCAUGCUGGACGCCAGUGUCUGGGUCACAUGAACAAGUGCGGCAUAUGGAGGAAUCAAAUUGACAUUGGAUGCGUUUAAAAUUAUCGUUAACGCAAUAUAACAUACUGGGCUCAGUAGAAAAAUAGCACGAUUUCAGACUACUGGAUGAAACAUGACGGUUUGGCGGAUACCUUUUUCCUGGAGAGUAGCCGGUAAAAAAGGGAAGUUGUCUACAGUCAUCUGAAGGUUAAAACAUGUCGAUGAAAAUAGGCAUUGAUAAAAAACAAGAACAGCAUGAAUUGCAUAGGCCGCGCCAUGCGAUAAAUGGGUCUAAUGAAAUAUGCGGCCAGCGUUGAUCCUGAUCCGAGUACACGAAUGCGAAGCAUGGUCUUAAGCUACUCUGGUAACAUAUGGCAAGUUCAACUAAUUCAGAUCACCUAUGCCUCAUGAGUGCAGCCAGUAUGCAAGUCAAAUGUGGGAUACAUGUUGGGGGACAAGUCGCGAUCGCAUAUGCAACGGAAUACUUUCAUUGAUUGCACGCAGUCGAAACAUAACCGGCAUACAAUGUGACGUCUAGGCAAAUUGAUUGCGGUAUAAGCACUUAUUAUAAUUAAUGACAUUAAUUGCCGCCAUGUGUAUCCAAAUUCAGUGUCAUGUGUGCUCCAAUAACCUACUUCUGCGUCACGCGAACAAAUGAGGAGAUGCAAUCCGGAUAUCAGACCAUUUAACCUAGAACAGCUCAGCAGUUUUCAUAUUAAUUUGACAAAAUCAUUCUGAAACAGGAAGGCUUCUUUGAACGAAGCUGCACAUGACUUCCGAAAGAAUAUUGUCAUUCACGUAUCCGUCCAUAUUUUACUUAAUUUAAUGCCGGCACGUGUUUCUGCUCCGCUGACUGAACAAAAUUGGACCCUAAGCGCUUGAAAUCGUCAAACAUUAGAACUUAAUAUUCUGAGAUGAAAAGUAUUGCAACUUUGCGCUAAUAGUGUUUCAUUAUUCGUGAGGUACAAGUAAGUUAUGCCAACCAUGUUCGAUGCCGUA